AACGAACGCUGGCGGCAGGCUUAACACAUGCAAGUCGAGCGCCCCGCAAGGGGAGCGGCAGACGGGUGAGUAACGCGUGGGAAUCUACCCAUCUCUACGGAAUAACGCAUGGAAACGUGUGCUAAUACCGUAUACGUCCUUCGGGAGAAAGAUUUGUCGGAGAUGGAUGAGCCCGCGUUGGAUUAGCUAGUUGGUGGGGUAAAGGCCUACCAAGGCGACGAUCCAUAGCUGGUCUGAGAGGGUGAUCAGCCACACUGGGACUGAGACACGGCCCAGACUCCUACGGGAGGCAGCAGUGGGGAAUAUUGGACAAUGGGCGCAAGCCUGAUCCAGCCAUGCCGCGUGAGUGAUGAAGGCCCUAGGGUUGUAAAGCUCUUUCACCGGUGAAGAUAAUGACGGUAACCGGAGAAGAAGCCCCGGCUAACUUCGUGCCAGCCGCCGCGGUAAGAC
rnacentral:rRNA from 1 species